rnacentral:rRNA from 1 species
AUCAUGCUCAGGAUGAACGCUAGCUACAGGCUUAACACAUGCAAGUCGAGGGGCAGCGGGAAGUCAGCUUGCUGACUUUGCCGGCGACCGGCGCACGGGUGAGUAACACGUAUCCAACCUUCCCGUUACUCUGGAAUAGCCUUUCGAAAGAAAGAUUAAUACCGGAUAGUAUCGAGAGAUUGCAUGAUUACCCGAUUAAAGAUUCAUCGGUAACGGAUGGGGAUGCGUUCCAUUAGGCAGUUGGG